rnacentral:rRNA from 1 species
CUACGGGUGGCUGCAGUGAGGAAUAUUGCACAAUGGGGGGAACCCUGAUGCAGCAACGCCGCGUGGAGGAUGACGCAUUUCGGUGUGUAAACUCCUUUUAUAUGUCAAGAAAAUGACGGUAGCAUAUGAAUAAGCACCGGCUAACUCCGUGCCAGCAGCCGCGGUAAUACGGAGGGUGCAGGCGUUACUCGGAAUCACGGGGCGUAAAGGACGCGUAGGCGGGGUGGGAAGUCAGGUGUGAAAUCCUACAGCUUAACUGUAGAACUGCACUUGAAACUUCUAAUCUAGAGUAUGGGAGGGGGAGAGGGAAUUAGUGGUGUAGCGGUAAAAUCCGUAGAUAUCACUAGGAAUACCUAAAGCGAAGGCGAUCUCCUGGAACAUUACUGACGCUAAGGCGUGAAAGCGUGGGGAGCAAACAGGAUUAGAUACCCCCGUAGUC